AUUGAACGCUGGCGGCAGGCCUAACACAUGCAAGUCGAGCGAGCGGCGGACGGGUGAGUAAUGUCUGGGAAACUGCCUGAUGGAGGGGGAUAACUACUGGAAACGGUAGCUAAUACCGCAUACCAUCAGAUGUGCCCAGAUGGGAUUAGCUAGUAGGUGGGGUAACGGCUCACCUAGGCGACGAUCCCUAGCUGGUCUGAGAGGAUGACCAGCCACACUGGGACUGAGACACGGUCCAAACUCCUGCGGUAGGCAGCAGUGGGGAAUAUGGCACAAUGGGCGCAAGCCUGAUGCAGCCAUGCCGCUUGUGUGAAGAAGGCCUUCGGGUUGUAAAGCACUGUCAGCGGGGAGGCGUUACCCGCAGAAGAAGCACCGGCUAACUCCGUGCCAGCAGCCGCGGUAAUUC
rnacentral:rRNA from 1 species